rnacentral:rRNA from 1 species
AACGAACGCUGGCGGCAGGCUUAACACAUGCAAGUCGAACGCGCCCUUCGGGGCGAGUGGCAGACGGGUGAGUAACGCGUGGGAACCUACCUUUUGGUACGGAAUAACUCAGGGAAACUUGAGCUAAUACCGUAUGUGCCCUUCGGGGGAAAGAUUUAUCGCCAAAGGAUGGGCCCGCGUCGGAUUAGCUAGGUGGUGGGGUAAUGGCCUACCAAGGCGACGAUCCGUAGCUGGUCUGAGAGGAUGAUCAGCCACACUGGGACUGAGACACGGCCCAGACUCCUACGGGAGGCAGCAGUGGGGAAUAUUGGACAAUGGGGGCAACCCUGAUCCAGCCAUGCGGCGUGAGUGAUGAAGGCCUUAGGGUUGUAAAGCUCUUUCGCCGGUGAAGAUAAUGACGGUAACCGGAGAAGAAGCCCCGGCUAACUUCGUGCCAGCCGCCGCCGUAACAC